rnacentral:rRNA from 1 species
UAGCUAGUUGGUGAGGUAACGGCUUACCAAGGCGACGAUCUGUAGCGGGUCUGAGAGGAUGAUCCGCCACACUGGCACUGAGACACGGUCCAGACUCCUACGGGAGGCAGCAGUGGGGAAUUUUGGACAAUGGGGGCAACCCUGAUCCAGCCAUGCCGCGUGAGUGAAGAAGGCCUUCGGGUUGUAAAGCUCUUUCGGCCGGGAAGAAAUCGCAUGGGCCAAUACCCUGUGUGGAUGACGGUACCGGAAUAAGAAGCACCGGCUAACUACGUGCCAGCAGCCGCGGUAAUACGUAGGGUGCGAGCGUUAAUCGGAAUUACUGGGCGUAAAGCGUGCGCAGGCGGUUUUGUAAGACAGGCGUGAAAUCCCCGGGCUCAACCUGGGAACUGCGUUUGUGACUGCAAGGCUAGAGUACGGCAGAGGGGGGUGGAAUUCCACGUGUAGCAGUGAAAUGCGUAGAGAUGUGGAGGAACACCAAUGGCGAAGGCAGCCCCCUGGGUCGAUACUGACGCUCAUGCACGAAAGCGUGGGUAGCAAACAGGAUUAGAUACCCUGGUAGUCCACGCCCUAAACUAUGUCAACUAGGUGUUGGGUGGGUAAAACCAUUUAGUACCGUAGCUAACGCGUGAAGUUGACCGCCUGGGGAGUACGGCCGCAAGGUUAAAACUCAAAGGAAUUGACGGGGACCCGCACAAGCGGUGGAUGAUGUGGAUUAACUCGAUGCAACGCGAAAAACCUUACCUACCCUUGACAUGCCAGGAACUUGCCAGAGAUGGCUUGGUGCCCGAAAGGGAGCCUGGACACAGGUGCUGCAUGGCUGUCGUCAGCUCGUGUCGUGAGAUGUUGGGUUAAGUCCCGCAACGAGCGCAACCCUUGUCGUUAAUUGCCAUCAUUUAGUUGGGCACUUUAGCGAGACUGCCGGUGACAAACCGGAGGAAGGUGGGGAUGACGUCAAGUCCUCAUGGCCCUUAUGGGUAGGGCUUCACACGUCAUACAAUGGUCGGUACAGAGGGUCGCCAAGCCGCGAGGUGGAGCCAAUCCCAGAAAGCCGAUCGUAGUCCGGAUUGCAGGCUGCAACUCGCCUGCAUGAAGUCGGAAUCGCUAGUAAUCGUGGAUCAGCAUGUCACGGUGAAUACGUUCCCGGGUCUUGUACACACCGCCCGUCACACCAUGGGAGCGGGUUCCGCCAGAAGUAGGUAGCCUAACCGCAAGGAGGGCGCUUACCACGGCGGGGUUCGUGACUGGGGUGAAGUCGUAACAAGAUAGCCGUAGGGGACCUGCGGCUG